ensembl:lncRNA
GCAGAUGGACCGCCCCCUCUCCUCCCGUCACCUCUCUCCGUGCAGCGCGAGGGCAGAACACGUCCGACGCGCGCACCUGGCGCCCGAGCUCAUUCAGUCACGUGCAGCCGCUUCCAGCGCGCGCGGGCGGCAGCGAGGAAGAGGAGACGUUUUCCCGGCCGCAAGGCGCGUGUUUUCCCGUCCGUCCCGAUGGAAGCCCGUGAGGUCGGGGUAAGAGGAGGAGGAGCAGGAGGAGGAGACGGCGGCAUGCGGAGAAGUGGAUGCUCGGUCUACCGUUAAGACACCUUGGGUGAUGGAGGAACAAAAACCUGGUGCACAUUCAUGGAGAGUUAUAUAAAGCCCCACCAGCAGAAACAUUCUCAACAACUGGUAAGUGAAUAUGUUCAGGAAUCAGGGCAAUCAGGAAACAUUUACUGCCAUAAUAUGUCAGACAUACAAGGAAUUUGACUUGGCGGUUGGUGCGUAACAGCAGACAGUAUGACAAUGGACGACAGGACAACAUAGUGCACGAGUUCAAAAGUUCAAAAGUGAAUGUGUUAAAGCGUAUGUGUGUAUAUGUUUGUAAUCAGGGUUGCUUGCAGUAUAAUAUGGUUGUGCCUAAUGGAGGCGGCUGGCCUGUGGAUAUUGUAAUUGAGUCAAGGCCAUGCAUUCAUUCACAUGAUUACUGAUUGUGAAUGCUGGUAUUAUUCUCAGUGUAUUUUUACACGUGGGAGUGUGCAAUACUUUCACUUAGUAAAUUGGGGUUGAAUGCAGAUUUAUUGAAAUUGAACGCAGAGAUUAUAGGCCGACUCAGUGGCCGGGGAAAAGCCCUGUAAACCCGAAGGAUACGUCACCCUCCUUUAAUCCUUACAGAAACGCGCAGUGCCACGUGGUUCUCAUUGUGAAUCUUUUCGCUAGAUUUAAGGCGACAAAACGACUUUUUUAAUGAAUGAUGUAACGCAUUAAAUGCAACGUAACGCGCCUAGCGUAACAAACGUCAAAUUACAACCUGAAAUAGACAAACGUAACCACCACAACGUAACAAAUGAGCAACGUAACAGUCACGUAACCUCAGCAGCAGCCAUAUCAACAAUAAACACCAUGAGGAGACUUCUAUGCUCCCAUGUACUGUCACGUAGCAAUCGUGAACCGUUACAUUCAGUUUUGGUUCCACACAGAACAGGAACAGCAAGCCAGUAGAUAAAGUCCUCUGCUCACAUGUGCGUACAGCGCAUACGUUUCCCCUGUUGUUUCACUUUAAGGUCUGCAUCCACAUCUGAGCUUUAUGUUGUUCACACUAGUGUUUUCUGUAGUUCUGUUGAUGCAAAGACACUUAAGGUAAUUACACACAAACCUAUGUGAAUAUGACCACAUUUACUUUAAAUGCAGAGAGGAAAACAUUCGGAUGUCUCUUCAAGGCAAAAGGAGAGGUUGCUCCAUUAACUGGGACAACUUGGACAGGAUUGUCAUUUCUCGCUUUGAUUAUGAGAAGAAUUGGAUUAAGCUAAUUGCCUGCAGAAUUAUACACUUGUGCUCAGUAGCCGGGUAUACAAUGUGUUUUUUGAUGGAACUGAUUUUCCGUUGCCUGUAGCUGCUGAUUUGAGUUACAUUGUGAGAAUCAAGCGAUUCCGACAUGGUCAUAUAGGUAUUUUAGCAUAAUGAUUAGUUUGAUUAUGUUAAUAUUUAGUCAAUUGAUAUGGUGAUAAGGCUUGUAUUUUCACGAAUGCCUCUGGGAAAACAAGCACAUCAUUAUUUAUCCCAGCACCGAAUGCAGUAUGCAAAAUAGCAUACAAACAAGUCUAUUUACAUGGGUAACUGCUUGAUAAAAUGAUUUUCAAAGUACAUGCACUAAUUACAUUAUUGUGUGUUGUAUAAUAUAAUAUGACGAAAAUGAUACCGGGUGCUUAUGAACAGAAAGUUAGAAAUAGGUGAUAUACAAUCUGUUUGACACUUAAACACACUUAAAUGAAAUGAUUCUCUGGUGCAGCAGCAUUUAAGAGGAUGUUACAAUAUGAUUCUCACUGGAGAACACAACAUCAGAAGUUGCAAAACAACCGAAAGAAGUAAUAUAACUCAUAUAUAUAAUAUAUAUAUAUAAAUAUAACUAAAGGAGAUUUUAUAUUUGUAAAAUGGAGCUCCUCAUUCAUAAAGAGAUUCGAGCCAGGUAAUGAGCAACACUGUUUUUACUCCUCAUCUACUCAUUAUAAAUGUCAAGGAGCUGAAUUUGAUUUGGUCACGUGAUUUUGCUGGCCGGCAAAACAGUCUUCUUAAAAGCGGCGUAAAGGUGUUGCACUGUCGCGUUCUUACCAACAUCUUGCCAUGAUAUCUGUGUCCUGGUCCAGGGUGUAAUAGGCAAAACUGCCCCUUUUGUAGGGUCUUUCCUUUAUUGAUUAACAUGCUUGCGAAGAAACAGACAUUAUUCCUCUUUUUUUAAUAUUCAUUGCGCUUUUUGAAAUCUUUUAUGUUCUUUUUACUUAACUCAUUUGUGUUGAAUAGCAGACGGCGUAUCUUUAAAAUAACACUGGCCAAAUAGUUCAAACACCAGUGAUUAGGCCAGAUUUCCAUAGAUGUCAUCAUUAGAUUAGAUAUCAUAUCAUUAGAUGUCAGUCGUACCAAACCAAGCAAGGCGGUUGCAGCAGAACCCUCGAAUUGAUUGAUUCUAGCAGUGGUGUGUUAUUGCCCAUGAAGGCGCAUAACAGCAGCAUUUUGAUUGCCUCUCGACAUGUCAAUGCCAGAGUUAGGGCUCACAGCAGCGGUGUUAAAAGCAGCCACCCGUUUACAGUACAAACUACGUCAAAGGUGCCGACAGGCCUCAAAGGUUUUUUUCCGUGGCGUACGCUCCUGUCAGGACGCCAUUAUCAGCUGUAACCACCCUGUGAGAGCGCCGAGAGGCUCCGUGAGCUAACCACUCGGGCACGCUCACCCGCACGAACAUGCACUGAAAGCAUAAUACAAGCAAAUUAAUUCCGAACACACAGACACGGUGAGUGACUUCAGGCAAACAUUACUCCAUAUGUCUUUACAUAAACACAUUUUUAUUGCUGCUGCAUUGAUGCUCUUCCGUUUUUUUAUUGCAACAAGCUAUGAUCAGUUUUUUCACAACACGGUUCUUCUUUUUAAGAGUCGGCUAAUACACUAAACAAUUUACCCCCCUCAAGAAAAUCUGAAUUUGUUUUUUCCCCCCAAAAAUAUAUAUACACACACUACCGUUCAAACGUUUGGGUCACAUAGAAAUGUCCUUAUUUUUCAAAGGAAGGACUAUUUUUCAUGAUUAAAUUAAUCACAAAUACACUAUACAUUGUUAAUGUGGUAAAUGACGAUUCUAAGUGGAAACAUCUGGUUUUUAAUGAAAUAUCUACAGGUGUAUAGAGGCCCAUUUCCAGCUACUAUCACUCCAGUGUUCUGAUGGUACAUUGUGUUCGCUAAUUGCCUUAGAAGACUAAUGGAUGAUUAGAGAACCCUUGAAAACCCUUGUGCAAUUAUGUUAGCACAGCUAAAAACAGCUAGUUGAGUAUCUGGAGCAUCACAUUUGUGGGUUCGAUUAUACUCUCAAAAUGGCCAGAAAAAGAGAAAUGAAACUUUCAUGUGAAACUUGCCAGUCUGUUCUUGUUCUUAGAAAUGAAGGCUAUUCCAAGCGAGAAAUUGCGAGAAAAACUGUGUACCACUCCGUUCAGAGAACAGGACAAACGGGCUCUAACCAUAGUAGAAGGAGAAGUGGGAGCCCCGGUGCACAACUCAGCAAGAAGACAAGUAGUUAUAUUAGAGUUAUAGACGCCUCACAGGUCCUCAACUGGCAGAUUCUAUAAAUGGUGAGAUGCAGAAGUGGUGAAGAGAUGCUGGAAGAGUGCAUGACGCCAUCUGCCAAGCAUGGUGGAGGUAAUGUGAUGGUGUGGGGCCUCUUUGGUGCUGGUAAAGUGGGAGAUUUGUACAAGGUAAAAGGGAUUUUAAGUAAGGAAGGCUAUCACUCCAUUUUGCAACGCCAUGCCGUGCCCUGUGGACAGCGCUUGAGCUGGAGUUAAUUUCCUCUUACAAUAGGACAAUGACCCAAAUCACACCUCCAAAUUAUGCAAGAACAAUUUAGGGUGAGAAGCAGACAGUUUGAAGAACAAAAUUAAUAUUUAAAAAAAUCAUUAUUUCUAAACCUGUCAAUGUUUUCUAUUCAUUUUGCAACUCAUUUGAUAAAUAAAAGUGUCAGUUUUCAUGGAAAACACAAAAUUGUCUGAGUGACCCCAAAUUUUUUAACGGUAGUGUAUAUGUAUAUUUAUUUUUAUUUUUUUUAUUCUACAAUAUGGCAGUUCCAACACGUGUGCGCGCGCACGGACAGAGAGCGUGCGUCCGCCUGCAACGACUACUAGCUGGAUAAUUGGAGAUGUGAAAAACAAUUCCAG